AGCUCCAAUAGUAUAUAUUAGUGUUGUUGCAGUUAAAACGCUCGUAGUUGGAUUUUGGGGCGCUUUGUGUGGUCCGCUUAACGGUGUGCACUGCAGGGAGUGUCCUUCCUUCUGAAGACGGGACAUGUCUUUUAUUGGAUGUGUCUUUUGGAUUCAGGAACUUUACUUUGAAUAAAUAAGAGUGUUCAAAGCAGGCUUUUACGCUUGAAUACAUUAGCAUGGAAUAAUAGAAUAGGACUUUGGUUCUAUUUUGUUGGUUUCUAGGACCGAGGUAAUGAUUAAUAGGGAUAGUUGGGGGCAUUAGUAUUUAAUUGUCAGAGGUGAAAUUCUUGGAUUUAUGAAAGACUAACUUCUGCGAAAGCAUUUGCCAAGGAUGUUUUCAUUA
rnacentral:rRNA from 1 species